rnacentral:rRNA from 1 species
AGAUUGAACGCUGGCGGCAUGCCUUACACAUGCAAGUCGAACGGUAGAAGGAGCAAUCCUUCGAGAGUGGCGAACGGGUGAGUAAUAUAUCGGAACGUGCCCAGUCGUGGGGGAUAACGUAGAGAAAUUUACGCUAAUACCGCAUACGAUCUAAGGAUGAAAGCGGGGGACUCGCAAGAGCCUCGCGCGACUGGAGCGGCUGAUAUCAGAUUAGCUUGUUGGUGAGGUAAAAGCUCACCAAGGCGACGAUCCGUAGCUGGUCUGAGAGGAUGAUCAGCCACACUGGGACUGAGACACGGCCCAGACUCCUACGGGAGCAGCAGUGGGAAUAGUUGGACAAUGGGCGCAAGCCUGAUCCAGCAAUGCCGCGUGUGUGAAGAAGGCCUUCGGGUUGUAAAGCUACUUUUAAGUCGGGAGACGAAAAGCUAGACGGUUAAGUACCCUGUAGUCA